AUCAGUCUAGGUUGAAUUAACCAACAGGUUGGUUGAUUCUAAACCGAAAAUUUGUUUGUUUAUAACUAGAAUUUAUUAAACUCAAAGUUAUAGUUUGGGUUGAAUCAACCUCAUAAAUGUGUUUAAUUCAACCAAAGUUAUCUACUUUGAAACAAUCUUCAUUGCUAGUUCGAUUCAAACCUACAUUCUUGUUAAUUUCAAACAUAUUUUGGUUUAUCUUUAUCAAAAACUAGUUUAUGUAGCUCACAAAUUAAAAAUAUUCAUUCUCGCUUGCCGGAUUUUUUCCGUUUUUUGUUCUCGGUAUUUUUAUUUUGUACUUCGUCAACCUAUAUGAGUAAAAUCGAAACUAAAAAGUGGUUAGCUAAUUAGCUUGGUCUACAGUUGUUUUUAGUUAGAAAACAUGAUAGCGUUUUUCUCCGAUUCUGCGGAAUCAUUCGCCGGCGUUGCGCCGCAAAAGAACUAGAAGAAAGACUAGAAACUAGAAAAAAAAACCGCACGCCCUUGUGCAAAUCACAUAUUGAAACGAUACUGCCGUAGCCGGAGCCACGCUAUGCUGAAAUGCUGCAUAAUUUGUUGUUAAUCGUAUCAAAAUGUAUGAUUAUUCACUAAUUUAUUUGAAUAAACACAAAAUGAAUUCCA